UGGGGAAUAUUGCGCAAUGGGGGAAACCCUGACGCAGCAACGCCGCGUGAAGGAUGAAGGUUUUCGGAUUGUAAACUUCUUUGAUGAGGGACGAACACAAUGACGGUACCUGAAGAACAAGCCACGGCUAACUACGUGCCAGCAGCCGCGGUAAUACGUAGGUGGCGAGCGUUAUCCGGAUUUACUGGGUGUAAAGGGCGUGCAGGCGGGUCUGCAAGUCGGGUGUGAAAUUUCCGGGCUUAACUCGGACGGGUCAUCCGAAACUGCGGAUCUUGAGUACUGGAGAGGAUAGUGGAAUUCCUAGUGUAGCGGUAAAAUGCGUAGAUAUUAGGAGGAACACCAGUGGCGAAGGCGGCUAUCUGGACAGUAACUGACGCUGAGGCGCGAAAGCGUGGGGAGCAAACAGG
rnacentral:rRNA from 2 species